AGCAGCCGCGGUAAUUCCAGCUCCAAUAGCGUAUAUUAAAGUUGUUGUGGUUAAAAAGCUCGUAGUUGAACCUUGGGCCUGGCUGGCCGGUCCGCCUCACCGCGUGUACUGGUCCGGCCGGGCCUUUCCCUCUGUGGAACCCCCAUGCCCUUCACUGGGUGUGGUGGGGAAACAGGACUUUUACUGUGAAAAAAUUAGAGUGCUCCAGGCAGGCCUAUGCUCGAAUACAUUAGCAUGGAAUAAUAGAAUAGGACGUGUGGUUCUAUUUUGUUGGUUUCUAGGACCGCCGUAAUGAUUAAUAGGGACAGUCGGGGGCAUCAGUAUUCAAUUGUCAGAGGUGAAAUUCUUGGAUUUAUUGAAGACUAACUACUGCGAAAGCAUUUGCCAAGGAUGUUUUCAUUAAUCAGUGAACGAAAGUUAGGGGAUCGAAGACGAUCAGAUACCGUCGUAGUCUUAACCAUAAACUAUGCCGAC
rnacentral:rRNA from 1 species